rnacentral:rRNA from 1 species
AAAGGGGGUGAAAAACCCCCUCGCCGAAAACCCAAGGGUUCCUGUCCAACGUUAAUCGGGGCAGGGUGAGUCGGCCCCUAAGGCGAGGCUGAGAAGCGUAGUCGAUGGGAAACAGGUUAAUAUUCCUGUACUUGUUUGUAAUGCGAUGAGGGGACGGAGAAGGCUAGGCCAGCACGGCGUUGGUUGUCCGUGUUUAAGGUGGUAGGCUGGUUUCUUAGGCAAAUCCGGGAAACUAAAGCCGAGAGCUGAUGACGGUGACUCUACGGAGUCCGAAGUGGUCGAUGCCACGCUUCCAGGAAAAGCCUCUAAGCUUCAGUUGCAAACAAACCGUACCGUAAACCGACACAGGUGGGUGGGUAGAGAAUACCAAGGCGCUUGAGAGAACUCGGGUGAAGGAACUAGGCAAAAUGGCACCGUAACUUCGGGAGAAGGUGCGCCGGUGAGGGUGAAGCAUUUACUGCGUAAGCCCAUGCCGGUCGAAGAUACCAGUCCCCUGCAACUGUUUAUUAAAAACACAGCACUCUGCAAACACGAAAGUGGACGUAUAGGGUGUGACGCCUCCCCGGUGCCGGAAGGUUAAUUGAUGGGGUUAGCGCAAGCGAAGCUCUUGAUCGAAGCCCCGGUAAACGGCGGCCGUAACAAUAACGGUCCUAAGGUAGCGAAAUUCCUUGUCGGGUAAGUUCCGACCUGCACGAAUGGCGUAAUGAUGGGGGGGCUGUCUCCACCCGAGACUCAGUGAAAUUGAAAUCGCUGUUAAGAUGCAGUGUACCCGCGGCUAGACGGAAAGACCCCGUGAACCUUUACUGUAGCUUUGCACUGAACUUUGAACCUAUCUGUGUAGGAUAGGUGGGAGGCUUUGAAGUUAGGACGCUAGUUCUAAUGGAGCCGUCCUUGAAAUACCACCCUGGUAUGUUUGAGGUUCUAACCACGGCCCAUAAUCUGGGCUUGGGACAGUGUAUGGUGGGCAGUUUGACUGGGGCGGUCUCCUCCAAAAGAGUAACGGAGGAGCACGUAGGUUGGCUAAUCCUGGUCGGACAUCAGGAGGUUAGUGUAAUGGCACAAGCCAGCUUAACUGCGAGACAGACACGUCGAGCAGGUACGAAAGUAGGUCAUAGUGAUCCGGUGGUUCUGUAUGGAAGGGCCAUCGCUCAACGGAUAAAAGGUACUCCGGGAUAACAGGCUGAUACCGCCCAAGAGUUCACAUCGACGGCGGUGUUUGGCACCUCGAUGUCGGCUCAUCACAUCCUGGGGCUGAAGUCGGUCCCAAGGGUAUGGCUGUUCGCCAUUUAAAGUGGUACGCGAGCUGGGUUUAGAACGUCGUGAGACAGUUCGGUCCCUAUCUGCCGUGGGCGUUUGAGAUUUGAGAAGCGUUGCUCCUAGUACGAGAGGACCGGAUUGAACGAACCUCUGGUGUUCCGGUUGUCACGCCAGUGGCAUCGCCGGGUAGCUAUGUUCGGACAGGAUAACCGCUGAAAGCAUCUAAGCGGGAAACCUCCUUCAAGAUGAGAUCUCACUGGAACUUUAAGUUCCCUGUAGGGCCCUAGAAGACCACUAGGUUGAUAGGUCAGGUGUGUAAGCGCUGUGAGGCGUUGAGCUAACUGAUACUAAUUGCCCGUGAGGCUUGACC